UGCUGGGAAUAUCCAAAAUUUAAGACUCUGCCAUUCCACAACCUCAAAAUUUGUGCUGGGAAUAUCCAAAAUUAAAACUCUGCCAUUCCACAAUCUCCAAAUUUGUGCAGGGAAUAUCCAAAAUUUAAGACUCUGCCAUUCCACAACGUCAAAAUUUGUGCUGGAAAUAUCCA